ACAGCUACUUAUUUGAAUAGUAAAUAUUCACUUGAAGUUUUUUAAUUGCUUUAUUUUCAGAAUAAAAUACCUGUAGUUAUUUUAGGGCUUUUCCCCUAGAUAUUUAGUUUUAGAGUUACCUAUAUUCACAGUAAUUUAUUUUCAUUUAUUUUAGAGUCUGGGUUAUUUUUACACUCAUUUGGGGGUUUUUAGUUAUUAAUAUGUGGUUUUAAAUUAUUUUCAGUUGUUGCAUCUUGAGCAUUAUAUUUUGAGCUUCUUACUUUCAGAACUUUUGAGAUACUUAGUUUUUGAGUUAUUUUCAGAGUUACUUAUUCUCAGUCGUUUCUUUUCAGUCAUGUCUUUGUCAUUCAAGUUUUUUUCUAUUUUGUAUUUUUCAUUAUUUUGUUUUCAGUUUUAUUUACAGAAUUAUUAGUAUUUCUUUAGAAUUAUUUAAUCCUGAGGCCGUGUUUGGAAGAUGGUAAACUGCUGCUACUGCAAGGGAAAUGCAAUUUUGAAAUUUUUAGACUUCUUAAAAACCAGAAAAAUAAUAGAGGCUGAAUCUUCUGUGAA
rnacentral:lncRNA from 1 species